ACAGCAGCCCCAGCAGAGCUGCCGGUUCCGGGGUUGGCGCCCGGCGUGGGCGGCGCUUCAGUGUCUCAUAGAUGUGAGUCCAAUGGAACUGCCCGGGGAAGACGAGCAGCCUCAGCUUCCGCAGCCCUGGGGCCGGCUUCUUCGCCUGGGCGCGGAGCAGGGCGAACCGCACGUCCUCCUGCGGAAGCGCGAAUGGACCCUCGGGCGCCGGAGAGCACCAAUGGAACAGUAAUCAACAAGUUGAAGGUUGUUAAGAAGCAAACUUAUCCUUUACAGACUGGGGAUGUCAUCUACCUGGUGUACAGGAAGAAUGAGCCGGAAUAUAAUGUGGCGUACCUCUACGAAUCUUUAAAUGAAAAGCAAGGCGUGACACAGGAAUCCUUUGAAGCCAAUAAAGAAAACAUGUUCCACAUGACCAAAGAUGCCUCAGGUCCAGGGCGGGGGGAUGGCCUCCAGGUCCCACCACCAUUGCCUGCUGCCCAACUGUGCUUGGAAGAACCACAGCCAUCGACAUCGACAUCAGACCUCUUCUCCACAGCUGCUUCCUCUUCCACGGAGCUGAGCUGUGUAGCGCGAGAACAUUCCUCCAGCUCAGGGUCUGGAGAUGCAGGCAUCUCCCCAAAAGGAUGUGGUCCAUUUGUAGCAAGUGACGAACUCUCCAGCCUCACUUCAGCUCUCCCAGACAGAGAUGGUGCACCCUAUUCUUUGUUAGGGCCCCAGCACCAGGAGGAUUUGGAGCCCAUGAAGAAGAAGGUGAAAGAAGAUGGGGAGCUGGAUCCAAACCUGCCAUCGGUGGUCACAGACCAGUGUAGAAGUGCCCAGGCCACCCAUGAGGACACAAGAGCUGUCACCAUGAAGCCAGACAAGAUGGAAGAGACUCUCACAUGCAUCAUCUGCCAGGACCUGCUUCAUGACUGUGUGAGUUUGCAGCCUUGCAUGCACACGUUCUGUGCAGCCUGCUACUCUGGUUGGAUGGAGCGCUCAUCCCUGUGCCCCACAUGCCGGUGUCCAGUGGAGAGAAUCUGUAAAAACCACAUCCUCAACAACCUUGUGGAAGCAUACCUCAUCCAGCACCCAGACAAGAGUCGCAGUGAAGAUGAUGUGCGAAGUAUGGAUGCCAGGAAUAAAAUCACUCAAGACAUGCUGCAGCCCAAAGUUAGGAGGUCUUUCUCUGAUGAGGAAGGGAGUUCAGAUGACCUGCUGGUGCUGUCAGAUGUUGACAGCGAAUCCUCAGACAUAAGCCAGCCAUACAUUGUGUGCAGACAGUGUCCGGAGUACAGAAGACAAGUGAUGCAGCCCCUUUCCUGCCCAGCAUCAGACAGCGUACUGGGGGCCCCACAGACCCUUGGGCGGGAUGCACCAUCAACCUCCACCAGCUUCACCUCAGCCCAGGACUACGAGUGCCCUGUGCAAGGAAGCCACGCCAUCUGCACCUGCUGCUUCCAGCCCAUGCCUGACCGGAGAGCUGAGCGCGAGCAGGAUCCCCACGUCCCACCCCAGCAGUGUGCAGUUUGUCUGCAGCCCUUCUGCCACCUGUACUGGGGCUGUACCCGGACUGGCUGCUCCGGCUGCCUCGCCCCAUUCUGUGAGCUCAACCUGGGGGACAAGUGUCUGGAUGGAGUGCUGAACAACAACAACUACGAGUCAGACAUCCUGAAGAAUUACCUGGUAACCAGGAGUCUGACAUGGAAAAACAUGUUGUCAGAAAGUCUCAUGGCUCUGCAGCGGGGAGUGUUUUUACUGUCUGAUUACAGGGUGACUGGGGACACAGUGCUGUGCUACUGCUGUGGCCUGCGCAGCUUCCGCGAGCUGAGCUAUCAGUACCGGCGGAACAUUCCCGCUUCUGAAUUGCCGGCGGCUGUGACAUCCCGUCCUGACUGCUACUGGGGCCGUAACUGCCGCACGCAGGUGAAGGCCCACCAUGCGAUGUGAGUGGCAGGAGUUACCUGUCUGCUGAAAAGCACAGACUUGUGGCUGGAGAUGGAGUGCAGUGGCAGAGAAAUUUAAUCAUAUCUGUGAGCAGACAAGGUUCAAGAACUGAACAUCAGGGCGACAACACAUAGCACCGCGCCUCGGAGAGGGCACUGGUGUGUUGGAAACUGAGUGCAGACGCUCUUAAGGGCGCUCACUGUCCCCAGCAUUGCUGGCUGGGCUCUGGGCAGGGGCUGUGGGGGACAUUUCCUGCUGUGGAGCUUUACCCUGAGUGAGAUGCCCAGGCCGCCUGCAGGCUGAGGUGGCAGCGCCAACCUCCUGCUGAGCACGGGUGGCGGAGCCCACAUGCAGGCCUCCAGCCAGACUCACAGUUGUACCCACUCUCCACAAGUGGUGACAGUGCAGGUUUGCUCUUUGUGUCCUUUUUCCAUAAUUGUGGCUAAAAUGAAGAUCUCUUGAGGAAAAAUUUCAUGGGAGAAAGGGAAAAGUGUGUCAGAAGUGCUCUGCUAGGGAAAAGGAGCAUAAGUUUACAGCAUACAGGAUGUGCAGAAUACUCCGCUGUCAGUACAACCACAGCCUUUUAUAUAUAUUUUAUUUUAAUAGGUUUGGUGCUUAUCUUCUAAUAAGAUUUAAAGAUCACAAUCUGUAGCACAAAUGAUAUAAUUUAUAAUUUACAAAUUGACUAAAUUGGGGGAUAGUAUAUUUGAAAGGUUUCUGUUUGUUAAGAAAGUGAUCCAGGGUCCCAGACUGCUAACCUGGACAAAGGUGUCAAGUUAGCGGCUCCUUGUUGUGCGUGAGUUGGGUCACUGCCGUCCCCACAUGGCUGGACACAGGCUGUCAUGGAGCGGGGUGAGGCUGGCCCUGGGCCCCAUCCAGGCCUGCAGAGUGGAGUGGGUGUAGGGCCUUCACUGCCUGACACCUCCCCUCCUACAUUGGGUUUGCCAUGCCAUCUGGAAUAAUACUUGAAAUUUUGUUGUUUUUUUUUUUAAAAGUUUUAUUUUUUGUUGAAAUCACCUGUUAUGUUUGUUUGCAAGCUAGUAACUUUUUUGCUUCUUCUCAGGAAUACAGGUUUCCAUUGUUGUCUUGCUCUUGAUACUCAUUGAGAGGCAGCAGUCUAUCCGUGGGAGGACAGCCCCUCUUUGGGUUCUAAUAAAUGAGCUGUUUUGUUUCUC